UACGGGGGGAGCAAGCGUUGUCCGGAAUUACUGGGCGUAAAGAGCUCGUAGGUGGUUUGUCGCGUUGUUCGUGAAAUCUCACGGCUUAACUGUGAGCGUGCGGGCGAUACGGGCAGACUGGAGUACUGCAGGGGAGACUGGAAUUCCUGGUGUAGCGGUGGAAUGCGCAGAUAUCAGGAGGAACACCGGUGGCGAAGGCGGGUCUCUGGGCAGUAACUGACGCUGAGGAGCGAAAGCGUGGGGAGCGAACAGG
rnacentral:rRNA from 1 species